rnacentral:rRNA from 1 species
UCCAGAGGGUGCAAGCGUUAAUCGGAAUUACUGGGCGUAAAGCGUGCGUAGCCGGUUACAUAAGUCGGGUGUGAAAGCCCCGGGCUCAACCUGGGAAUUGCAUUCGAGACUGCGUAGCUAGGGUGCGGAAGAGGGAAGCGGAAUUUCCGGUGUAGCGGUGAAAUGCGUAGAUAUCGGAAGGAACACCAGUGGCGAAAGCGGCUUCCUGGUCCAGCACCGACGUUCAGGCACGAAAGCGUGGGGAGCAAACAGG